GCUUUCAUAGCUCAGUUGGUUAGAGCAACAGACUGUUAAUCUGGAGGUCAGAGGUUCGACUCCUCUUGAGAGCG
rnacentral:tRNA from 1 species